rnacentral:rRNA from 1 species
UACGGGGGGGGGCAAGCGUUGUUCGGAAUUACUGGGCGUAAAGGGCUCGUAGGCGGCCAACUAAGUCAGACGUGAAAUCCCCAGCUUAACCUGGGAACUGCAUCCGAUACUGGAUGGCUUGAAUCCGGGAGAGGGAUGCAGAAUUCCAGGUGUAGCGGUGAAAUGCGUAGAUAUCUGGAGGAAUACCGGUGGCGAAGGCGGCAUCCCUGGCCGGCAUUGACGCUGAUGAGCGAAAGCUAGGGGAGCAAACGGG